UACGGGGGGGACAAGCGUUGUUCGGAUUUACUGGGCGUAAAGGGCGCGUAGGCGGACCUUCAAGUCGGGUGUGAAAACCGGCGGCUCAACUGCCGGCCUGCAUUCGAGACUGUCGGUCUUGAGUACAUGAGAGGAAGGCGGAAUUCCAGGUGUAGCGGUGAAAUGCGUAGAUAUCUGGAAGAACACCAGUAGCGAAGGCGGCCUUCUGGCGUGAUACUGACGCUGAAGCGCGAAGGCUAGGGGAGCAAACAGGAUUAGAUACCCUGGUAGUCCUAGCGGUAAACGAUGGGUACUAGGUGUCGGAGGUAUUGACCCCUUCGGUGCCGCAGCUAACGCAUUAAGUACCCCGCCUGGGGAGUACGGUCGCAAGAUUGAAACUCAAAGGAAUUGACGGGGGCCCGCACAAGCGGUGGAGUAUGUGGUUUAAUUCGAGGCAACGCGAAGAACCUUACCUGGGUUUGACAUGCUUGAGACAACCGGUGAAAGCCGGUUUUCCCUUCGGGGACUCUUGCACAGGUGCUGCAUGGCUGUCGUCAGCUCGUGCCGUGAGGUGUUGGGUUAAGUCCCGCAACGAGCGCAACCCUUGUCCAUAGUUGCCAUCAGGUUAUGCUGGGGACUCUAUGGAGACUGCCGGUGAUAAGCUGGAGGAAGGUGGGGAUGACGUCAAGUCCUCAUGGCCCUUACACCCAGGGCUACACACGUACUACAAUGGUCGGUACAGAAGGUUGCAAGACCGCAAGGUGGAGCUAAUCCUGAAAACCGGCCUCAGUUCAGAUUGGAGUCUGCAACUCGACUCCAUGAAGGAGGAAUCGCUAGUAAUCGCUGAUCAGCAGGCAGCGGUGAAUACGUUCCCGGGCCU
rnacentral:rRNA from 1 species